AUGUUCUCAUGCUGCUACUGCUUGGAGUGCCCUAUGUGUGUUGAAGCCAACAUGUGUGGCUGCAUAUGGGAUGAACUUGCAACUGCAGUGUCCAGAUGGCUAUCAUGGAAUGAUGCAAUGAAAGGAAGAAAUAAUCAUUUAGAGUAUCCUGUUCAAGAUCAGAAUUCAGUGUAAGUUGUUUAAGUUGUUUUCAGAGCAUGGCAUUAGAAUUCUUCAGUGUUUUCAGACCGUCAGGUCUGCAUUCAUAAUAAUAUGAAAGGAUGUUAAAGAAACAUGAUCUUCAUCCAGAUAUACUUGCAAAGACUUUAAAUGUGAAGGUACCUAUAUCUUCUUCCUUAGGGUUGACUGGAGUACAGUUAAUCUGGGAAACACAUUGUGCAAUGUGAUUCUUAUCAGACAAUCGUGAGGUGUUUUCAAAUUCGAAGUAGUAGUUGAUUUCUUAUUCUCAAAAAUAAGGACCAUAUGGUUUUGUGACUAGUUCCCUGACUGGCCUCCCAGCUCAUUUGGUCUCUGGCUUCCUGACAAAAUUGCUGGCUUUCUUUGGUCAUGCAUCAGAGUAAGCUAUUAGUUUUAAACAGAACUUGUAAAACAAAGCUUUAGUAACUCAUGUCUACAGUAAUAUGCAAAUUUAAUUUACUAGCAUGUAUAAAACAGGCAUCAGAUCUGUGGAGAACAUGUGAAAUUUUUCCAAGAUAAUACAUGAAAGCUUUGACAACUAUUUAUUUUUCUUUCUCAUCAGGGCGUGGUGAACACUGGUUACACAGACUUGCCAAGUAGAAUGGCUACUCAGGCCAGUAGCAUUUAUUCCAAUAACAUCUUGAAAUUAUUAAAGCUAUUUCUCCUGAUAAAGAAUAUUUUCAGUUUGAACAAAAGGAUGAUUUCGAUUAUGGGGCUAUUUAUCAUGUCAUUAGAAGAAUUUUGGUAAUGAAGGUGAGUUUCAACACCACUUAAAAUUUUUUGAUUAUAAAAUUAGAUGUGUUGUAUGAAAGCAGAGAUUUUGCUAGUGAGUUUAGCCAUUCCAUGAAAAAACAUUACUUGUCCAUAUGAUAACAUGAACUGAGUUUCUUGCAUGUUUCGAACACUGAAAUAGGGCAAAAAUAUAAAAAUCAAUGUUGCACUUUGAACUUGUGUUUUUUAAAGAAUACAUUACUGAGAGUCGGCCCAUCUGCUGAGCUACUAAGCGGUGCUUUAAGAAACUUAACUUCAAGUGCCAGAUAGUUUAUGGACUCAACAAUGUGUUGAACAAAGGUGCUAUGGCAAGUAGAAAUAGGUGAGCUGCAUGCGAUGCUCAAAAGGAUUUGAAGUAGUGUAAGUACCAGAAAGGCCAAAUGGUUUGACACUUUUAUCUUUCUGCCAAGGUCAGGAAAGGUAGAGCAUCGUUGCUUAUAAGGGUAUAGUGUUCUUCUAUUGAAGCAAGCAGGUGUUUGGCCUCAGAAUAUGAAAUGGAUUUCAACCCCAAUCUGACAUCGUUAAGCUAGGUUCUGCGUAGUCUCUGUAGUAGCAGUAGCCCUUAUACCUUCCUACAUCCUUUGAUCCCUUAUUCUGGGGAAUAGAAAAGGAAAUAGAUAUGCAGUUAAUAUGGGAGUCAGCCUUGAAAUAUAUGAAAAAUUAGGUUUGCUCUUAUGAUGGCUGUGACUUUCCAAAUGCAAGAUGUUUCUUUAGACAGACAGACCUUCUCAGUUAUGUUUAUUCUGGAUGUAAUAGAAAGCAAGCUUUAAUUUCUGUUGUCAUGGCGAGUUAAGAUUGACAGGAAUCUGUAUCUGCCUGCAGGUAGCAUUAAACCAAAGUACGUUCAUGCUAAACAAAUGUUGGCAGGCUGGAAUUACUGUUUGGCUAAGGAAGUGUUUGUAAGGAGAAGCAUAUUCAUGUCAGCUUUUAAGGAAUGUAGCACAGGACUUCAUUUUUCUUGUUUAAUCUUUGGGAGGGCAGAACAAGGCAUGAUGGGGUUUGUUCUUUUUCUCUGAAGCAUCAAGUAUACUAUGUCUGACACAUACCAAGCCAAAUUUGGUGGAGUAAGAACAUGAUGUUUUUUACAACUGACUGACUUCAAUGAUCAGUGCUAUUUUACAGGAAAAGGUUAUUUUUAUUGGUAUAAGGUAAGGGCCAAAUCUGGUUCUAUUUACUCAUGUGAGUAAUCCUACUAAUUUCAGAAGGAUAAAUGAGUAGCCAUGAUAACUUUGUCUGAACGGUCAGUCAGUCAUGAUAUAAAGAAAAGGAAGAUGCUGUAGAAAUCCAUCACAAUGAUUGUGUUGUUCUGUAGCAAGAAGAUAGGGUCUGAUUUCUAGAGCCUUUCCCCAAAACAACAUCCCGUUCUGUACUAAUGUUAAAAAAUAAAUAAAUAAAAUAGCCACA
ensembl:lncRNA